rnacentral:rRNA from 1 species
GUAGGGAAUAUUGGACAAUGGGUGAGAGCCUGAUCCAGCCAUGCCGCGUGCAGGAAGAAGGCCUUCUGGGUUGUAAACUGCUUUUGCCAGGGGAUAAAAUUCUCAUGCGUGAGAAAUUGAAGGUACCUGGUGAAUAAGCCACGGCUAACUACGUGCCAGCAGCCGCGGUAAUACGUAGGUGGCAAGCGUUGUCCGGAUUUAUUGGGUUUAAAGGGUGCGUAGGCGGUUCCAUAAGUCAGUGGUGAAAUACAAUAGCUUAACUAUUGAGGUGCCAUUGAUACUGCGGAACUUGAGUACAGACGAGGUAGGCGGAAUUGACGGUGUAGCGGUGAAAUGCUUAGAUAUCGUCAAGAACACCGAUAGCGAAGGCAGCUUACUAGACUGUAACUGACGCUGAGGCACGAAAGUGUGGGGAUCAAACAGGAUUAGAAACCCCAGUAGUCC